rnacentral:rRNA from 1 species
GUCCAUGGCUACACCGCCCUGAACGCGCCCGAUCUCGUCUGACCUCGGAAGCUAAGCAGGGUCGGGCCUGGUUAGUACCUGGAUGGGAGAUGCAAAAUCUAAGCCACCACGAUGAGCAGGAGUCAGGCCC